rnacentral:rRNA from 1 species
ACGCACGCUGGCGGCGUGCUUAACACAUGCCGGUCGAACGGAAAGGCCCUGCUUUUGUGGGGUGCUCGAGUGGCGAACGGGUGAGUAACACGUGAGUAACCUGCCCUUGACUUUGGGAUAACUUCAGGAAACUGGGGCUAAUACCGGAUAGGAGCUCCUGCUGCAUGGUGGGGGUUGGAAAGUUUCGGCGGUUGGGGAUGGACUCGCGGCUUAUCAGCUUGUUGGUGGGGUAGUGGCUUACCAAGGCUUUGACGGGUAGCCGGCCUGAGAGGGUGACCGGCCACAUUGGGACUGAGAUACGGCCCAGACUCCUACGGGAGGCAGCAGUGGGGAAUAUUGCACAAUGGGCGGAAGCCUGAUGCAGCAACGCCGCGUGCGGGAUGACGGCCUUCGGGUUGUAAACCGCUUUCGCCUGUGACGAAGCGUGAGUGACGGUAAUGGGUAAAGAAGCACCGGCUAACUACGUG